rnacentral:rRNA from 1 species
UACAGAGGGUGCAAGCGUUGUUCGGAAUUACUGGGCGUAAAGCGUAUGCAGGCGGAUCGUUAAGUCGGGGGUGAAAUCCCGAGGCUCAACCUCGGAACUGCCUUCGAUACUGGCGACCUUCGAGUCCGGGAGAGGUGAGUGGAACUCCGAGUGUAGAGGUGAAAUUCGUAGAUAGUUCGGAAGAACGCCAGUGGCGAAAGGCGG